rnacentral:piRNA from 1 species
UGUCAUUUGAAAGGGGGCCAUAGUGU